UACGUAGGGUGCGAGCGUUAAUCGGAAUUACUGGGCGUAAAGCGUGCGCAGGCGGCUUUGCAAGACAGAUGUGAAAUCCCCGGGCUCAACCUGGGAACUGCAUUUGUGACUGCAAGGCUAGAGUACGGCAGAGGGGGAUGGAAUUCCGCGUGUAGCAGUGAAAUGCGUAGAUAUGCGGAGGAACACCAAUGGCGAAGGCAAUCCCCUGGGCCUGUACUGACGCUCAUGCACGAAAGCGUGGGGUGCAAACAGG
rnacentral:rRNA from 1 species